rnacentral:rRNA from 1 species
CAGCCGCGCGGGAAUACGAAGGGGGCUAGCGUUGCUCGGAAUGACUGGGCGUAAAGGGCGCGUAGGCGGUUUUCCAAGUUAGAUGUGAAAUUCCUGGGCUCAACCUGGGGGCUGCAUUUGAUACUGGGAGGCUUGAGUAUGGAAGAGGGUCGUGGAAUUCCCAGUGUAGAGGUGAAAUUCGUAGAUAUUGGGAAGAACGCCGGUGGCGAAGGCGGCGACCUGGUUCAUUACUGACGCUGAGGCGCGAAAGCGUGGGGAGCAAACAGGAUUAGAUACCCCAGUAGUCCCUGUCUCUUAUACA